AGAUUGAACGCUGGCGGCAGGCUUAACACAUGCAAGUCGAGCGGUAACAGGAGAAGCUUGCUUCUCGCUGACGAGCGGCGGACGGGUGAGUAAUACUUAGGAAUCUACCUAGUAGUGGGGGAUAGCUCGGGGAAACUCGAAUUAAUACCGCAUACGACCUACGGGAGAAAGGGGGCAACUUGUUGCUCUCGCUAUUAGAUGAGCCUAAGUCGGAUUAGCUAGAUGGUGGGGUAAAGGCCUACCAUGGCGACGAUCUGUAGCUGGUCUGAGAGGAUGAUCAACC
rnacentral:rRNA from 1 species